ACCCGCACAAGCGGUGGAUGAUGUGGAUUAAUUCGAUGCAACGCGAAAACCUUACCUACCUUGACAUGUCUGGAACCUUGCUGAGAGGCGAGGGUGCCUUCGGGAGCCAGAACACAGGUGCUGCAUGGCUGUCGUCAGCUCGUGUCGUGAGAUGUUGGGUUAAGUCCCGCAACGAGCGCAACCCUUGUCAUUAGUUGCUACAUUCAGUUGGGCACUCUAAUGAGACUGCCGGUGACAAACCGGAGGAAGGUGGGGAUGACGUCAAGUCCUCAUGGCCCUUAUAGGUGGGGCUACACACGUCAUACAAUGGAUGGUACAAAGGGUCGCCAACCCGCGAGGGGGAGCCAAUCCCAUAAAGCCAUUCGUAGUCCGGAUCGCAGUCUGCAACUCGACUGCGUGAAGUCGGAAUCGCUAGUAAUCGUGGAUCAGAAUGUCACGGUGAAUACGUUCCCGGGUCUU
rnacentral:rRNA from 1 species